rnacentral:rRNA from 1 species
UUGACCUCGGAUCAGGUAGGAAUACCCGCUGAACUUAAGCAUAUCAAUAAGCGGAGGAAAAGAAACCAACAGGGAUUGCCCCAGUAACGGCGAGUGAAGCGGCAACAGCUCAAAUUUGAAAUCUGG